AGAGUUUGAUCAUGGCUCAGGACGAACGCUGGCGGCGCGCUUAACACAUGCAAGUCGAGCGGUAACAGGCGUAGCAAUACGUGCUGACGAGCGGCGAACGGGUGAGUAAUGCUUCGGAAUCUACCCAGUAGUGGGGAAUAACCAGCCGAAAGGUUGGCUAAUACCGCAUACGUCCUACGGGAGAAAGCGGGGGAUCGUAAGACCUCGCGCUAUCGGAUGAGCCGAAGCCGGAUUAGCUAGUUGGUAGGGUAACGGCCUACCAAGGCGACGAUCCGUAGCUGGUCUGAGAGGACGACCAGCCACACUGGGACUGAGACACGGCCCAGACUCCUACGGGAGGCAGCAGUGGGGAAUAUUGGACAAUGGGGGAAACCCUGAUCCAGCGACGCCGCGUGUGUGAAGAAGGCCUGCGGGUUGUAAAGCACUUUUAGUGGGGAUGAAAAGUGCAGAGCUAACACCUCUGCAUCUUGACCUAACCCACAGAAAAAGCACCGGCUAACUCUGUGCCAGCAGCCGCGGUAAUACC
rnacentral:rRNA from 1 species